rnacentral:rRNA from 1 species
UACGUAGGGUGCGAGCGUUAAUCGGAAUUACUGGGCGUAAAGCGUGCGCAGGCGGUUUUUUAAGCCAGAUGUGAAAUCCCCGGGCUUAACCUGGGAAUGGCAUUUGGGACUGCAAGGCUUGAGUGCGGCAGAGGAGACUGGAAUUCCUGGUGUAGCAGUGAAAUGCGUAGAUAUCUGGAGGAACACCGGUGGCGAAGGCGGCAUCCUGGACCGACACUGACGCUGAGGAGCGAAAGCCAGGGGAGCAAACGGG